GGAAGGAAACCUCAACGCAGAGGCAGUCCUCCUACACUCAACACCGGAUCCCAUAGGCACAUACAGGAAAAACAUUCGUAGACACCUAAUCAACGCAGCCAAGGCACUAAUUCCACUAUACUGGAAACAAACGAAUACCCCGACAAUAAGACAAUGGAUGGAGCGGGUGGAAGAAAUCUAUAGAGCGGAAUCAAUACAAGCUACACUUCGAGGACUAGAGG